UACGAAGGGGGCUAGCGUUGUUCGGAAUUACUGGGCGUAAAGCGCGCGCAGGCGGCCAAUCAAGUCAGAGGUGAAAGCCCGGAGCUUAACUCCGGAAUUGCCCCUGAGACUGUUUGGCUUCGAGUACGGGAGAGGUGAGUGGAAUUCCGAGUGUAGAGGUGAAAUUCGUAGAUAUUCGGAAGAACACCGGUGGCGAAGGCGGCUCACUGGCCCGUUACUGACGCUCAGGCGCGACAGCGUGGGGAUCAAACAGGAUUAGAUACCCUGGUAGUCCACGCCGUAAACGAUGGAUGCUAGCCGUUGGUAAGCUUGCUUAUCAGUGGCGCAGCUAACGCAUUAAGCAUCCCGCCUGGGGAGUACGGCCGCAAGGUUGAA
rnacentral:rRNA from 1 species